rnacentral:rRNA from 1 species
AUACGGAGGAUGCGAGCGUUAUCCGGAUUUAUUGGGUUUAAAGGGUGCGUAGGCGGAUUGAUAAGUCAGCGGUAGAAAACCUUCAGCUUAACUGGAGAAUUGCCGUUGAUACUGUUAGUCUUGAGGAUGGUCAAGGUAGGCGGAAUGUGUAAUGUAGCGGUGAAAUGCUUAGAUAUUACACAGAACACCGAUUGCGAAGGCGGCUUACUGGGCCAUAACUGACGCUGAGGCACGAAAGCGUGGGGAGC